rnacentral:rRNA from 1 species
AGAGUUUGAUCCUGGCUCAGGAUGAACGCCGGCGGUGUGCCUAAUACAUGCAAGUCGUACGCACUGGCCCAACUGAUUGAUGGUGCUUGCACCUGAUUGACGAUGGAUCACCAGUGAGUGGCGGACGGGUGAGUAACACGUAGGUAACCUGCCCCGGAGCGGGGGAUAACAUUUGGAAACAGAUGCUAAUACCGCAUAACAACAAAAGCCACAUGGCUUUUGUUUGAAAGAUGGCCUUGGCUAUCACUCUGGGAUGGACCUGCGGUGCAUUAGCUAGUUGGUAAGGUAACGGCUUACCAAGGCGAUGAUGCAUAGCCGAGUUGAGAGACUGAUCGGCCACAAUGGAACUGAGACACGGUCCAUACUCCUACGGGAGGCAGCAGUAGGGAAUCUUCCACAAUGUGCGCAAGCCUGAUGGAGCAACACCGCGUGAGUGAAGAAGGGUUUCGGCUCGUAAAGCUCUGUUGCUGGAGAAGAACGUGCGUGAGAGUAACUGUUCACGCAGUGACGGUAUCCAACCAGAAAGUCACGGCUAACUACGUGCCAGCAGCCGCGGUAAUACGUAGGUGGCAAGCGUUAUCCGGAUUUAUUGGGCGUAAAGCGAGCGCAGGCGGUUGCUUAGGUCUGAUGUGAAAGCCUUCGGCUUAACCGAAGAAGUGCAUCGGAAACCGGGCGACUUGAGUGCAGAAGAGGACAGUGGAACUCCAUGUGUAGCGGUGGAAUGCGUAGAUAUAUGGAAGAACACCAGUGGCGAAGGCGGCUGUCUGGUCUGCAACUGACGCUGAGGCUCGAAAGCAUGGGUAGCGAACAGGAUUAGAUACCCUGGUAGUCCAUACCGUAAACGAUGAGUG